GUGAUCGCAUGGAAUUGUCGGGGGCUUGGGAACCCACCGGCAAUUCGGAGCCUUCUUGAGAUGCAAAGGGCGGAAGAUCCCGAUAUUCUCUUUCUCUCUGAAACGAAGCUCAGGGAGAAGGAGAUUGUGUUCCUACGGUGGCGUUUGAACAUGGUGAACAUGGUGGUGAAAGAUUGUGAGGGGAGGAGUGGUGGUCUGGCUCUUUUUUGGCGAAAG
rnacentral:rRNA from 1 species